AAAUAAUGAAAAUGUAUGUGAAACCGUAUGUAUAUACGGUGUGGUUGUAACUUUCAGUGUCAAUCUAGCUUUUCCCUUUAACAAUAUGUCGUGAAAAGAAAUAUUCAGCCGUUCCAAUUGGUCCUCUUGCAUUAACCCGAUAUAGAGCGCUGAAAUAAAUUUUUCGUUCCAAUUCUGAAAUUCAGAGCGCUAAAAGAGAGUGAAAAUUCUUCCCUCCAGAACUCAUCAAAACCUCCGUCAAAGCUGUGAACGAUUCUUUUCCCUAAUCCUAAUCCUAACCCUUUCUUCCCUUUUCCGUCUUCUUAAACCCUUCAACUUGUGUACAGAGUUAGGUUUUUAGGGUUUAUUAAGGGUUUCACAAAACUCAAAUACUUCAAGAAAUUAUGUUAAUCAAGGAUUUCACAGAAUCAUCUCAAUCAAAGAUUUGAAGAAAUUCUUUCGAUGUUGACAACGAUUCCUCUGAGAGCAGCAAGGGUCAUAUCACGCGGUGAGGAGGAUUUUUUGUUUUACUUUAAAUUUAUGUACAAUCCGUUGCCCUAGUAAGAGCUUCCUUCAACUAGGGUACGAUAUCUCCUUCAACUUCCAUUCAGUUUUGUCAUUCAUAACAAAAAUUGGUUAUUUUUUAUUCUAGUUUAUGAUUUAAUCAAUUUCUUGAGAUGAGUUAAGUUUGCUCCUUUUGAUUGAGUUCCAUUUGAUCAUUAAGUUGUUCUUAAUUUCUUUCUGUGUUAAAAAUGGGGAUCUAACUAUUGUGAUGAGCAGAGUUUUAAAUAAUAUGUGGUAAUAGAGAAACUAAGUUAAUGCAUAAUGAUUUUGAAGCUGUUUUAUUUCAACAACUUUGAAGUUGUUUGAGUUUGAAUCAGGUUUUAUGCUUGGUUUUCCUUAGGGUUGUUUCUGAUUUGAUUGUGGUGUUUGACUAUGGUUUUCCCUUUGUAAUUUACUUGUGUUUAUUCUGGUUUUAUGUUGUUGGUCUUACUUAAAUGUAUUUUAACUAGUUCAUGGAUUACAUGGUUUUGAAUAUAGAGUCUCUCUGGACCUGUUGAUGACCCCUCUAAGCUUCCCAAGUGGAUCUAUGAUGAUUCCAGCAUUGAUCCCCAAGUGGCGUGAUCUUGCAGUAAAUAUUCUUUUUUUCGUUUUUCAUGUUUACCUUGAGCCUCUAUUUCAUACACUUUUCUAAUUUAGAUCACAAUUACAUGUAGAUUGAAAGUUAGUUGUUUACAGGAAAGUUACUUAUCAAAAGUUAGUUGUUUCAUCAUCCCCUAAACUAGCUCUGAUUGUCCUAAUUAGGAUCACAGUCCAAAUCAAGAUUCAAAAUUACAGAGAAAAAGCAGAGGAAGUGCAACAACACUCCAAGGAGAAAUGGUGUUAAAAAGCUGGAAAUAUUACUAAAGGUUAUUAAAUUUUUCAUUUUAGUUUUUAAGUUUCUAAUUUUUGUGUAGUUCAACUUUUUUAGUAGUGUUGGGUUACAUGAAUUGGUAUAUGGGUUGCAUGAAUUGUUGACAACCUUCACUAAGUGAGUAUCACUGUUAUUUUCAUUGAGUUUGUGUUAUUUGUUCUGUUCUGUAUCAUAAUCAUUUCAUGGUUUAAUUGGCAUUUGCAUUUGUUUUAGGCAAUUACCAAUUAGGUUGUGGAUAGAUAGAGAUCUUUGGGAUCAUGUGGGUGAACUUAUAAUAGUUUCAUUACCACUCUUUAAAGUGUGUCGCAUGUUAAUCUAGUAAGAUGGAGAAAAGGAAAAGUAUUGUUCUGUAUAGAGAUAUAUUGGAUAAGACUCUUGCUUCAUUUUGUUUUACAAAUUAUCAAAAAUUUAAAUUGCUUGUCGAAAGUCUAAUUCGUCGUGAGUCGCAAUCGCGGUUUUUGCAGGUUAUGUGGAGAAGUUAGAAAUUAAGACCGCUGAGGUAUCAAAUUUUCUUGUUAUGAUGAGAAGUGCUUCUACAGAUGAAAAUGGGGGAUAUAGUACAUCAGUCAAUAAUUUGAAAGCAGGAUAUCUAGUACUAGUAGCAUUUUUUUAGUUGUGGCUAUGUUAUGUUUUUGUUAUAACUUUUCUUCUUUCGACAGUUAAAACAAGAUAACAAGGAAUUCCGCGUUAUGUACCACGUAGGACCAGAGGGAACUCCGUAUCAUACAUUGCUGGUUGAAGGCUAUGUAGAUUGACCUCUUGAUGUUUCUCUAUUUCUCACAUGGGAAUCAACCCUUUAUAAGAAAUGGUGGCCUCAGUUUACGAUUCCAACAUUCAAAGUUAAUGCUUUUGAUCGUUUACAGAAGGUCCAAACUGGUGAACAAAUUGCACUAGUAAGGUUUGUAUGGCAUUAGCUUUGGAGGCUGUUUGGUUUGGGUACUAUUUUUAUUCCGUCUUGUGAAGUAUAAAAUACAUCUUGAAUUUUUUUUAUAAAAAUACAUGCACUAUUACUAAUUUGACUCUUGAACAUUUGUUUAUUGAUUGAUAACAUUAGUUGAAAUUAUGGACACGGAAAAAGUCAUGGUGCAUCCAUUUAUUUAACAAGGUAUAUUUGACUAGUAAUAUAGUUUCUUUUUAUGAUAUUUUCUUGAAAUAAAAAUAAUUACUCGUCAAUUACAAGAAAUCUAACUAAGAAAUUAGAGUUUUUAAAGGUGUGUUUUCUUGUAGAAGCAGCAGGGCUAGCGUAAAGGCAAACCUACGAAGAGUAGUAACUAAAUUUUUUAUAUCUUAUAAUUUAUGGUUAAGCUUUUAUUUUCUUCCAUGAAGAAAUUAUUGGUUCCUUAUAAGCUUAAACCAUGUAUAUUGUUGUGACUUGUGAUUUACGAUUAUAUGAGUUCAAUUUAAUAAUUAAUUGUUUGAAAGUAUUUGGAAGGAUUGAACGUAUAUUAUUUGGUUUGUAAGUUGUACACAAGUUGCAACUUUUAUUACAUUUGGAUCAGUAAGUGAGUUUUAAUUGUUAGUUUUAAUAAUUUGUUCUAGUAUCUUUAAUUUAAUAAUGUCGUUUAUAAUCAAUCUUAUGUAUAUGGUAUUUUUCAAUUUAGAGUACUCAUGUCAGAGUCUCAAAGAUGAAUGAAGCUAGUGGAAGACAUGGAAGAUCUCAUUUUGAUUGUAAAUGUUUAAGUUUAUUUUGAUAGUAAAUGUUUUAAGUUUAUUUUGUUAUGUAGAUGUUUAAGUCUUUUAGUAGAUAAUUUUGGUCA